UCUUCGAUGGUCUAGUGGUCAUGAUUUCCGCUUGUCAAGCCCUAUCCUAGGACUAACAAGCGCGGGAGACCGGGGUUCGAUUCCCCGUCGGAGAG